UACCUGCAGCUCAAGUGGUGGCCGCUAUUAUUGGGCCUAAAACGUUCGUAGCCGGUUUAGUAAAUGCUUGGGUAAAUUGUGUCGCUUAACGAUACGAAUACCGGGUAGACUGCUAAACUUGGGACCGGGAGAGGCUAGAGGUACUCCUGGGGUAGAGGUGAAAUUCUGUAAUCCUGGGGGGACCACCAGUGGCGAAGGCGUCUAGCCAGAACGGGUCUGACGGUGAGGAACGAAGCCCUGGGGCGCAAACCGGAUUAGAUACCCGGGUAGUCCGGGGUGUAAACGCUGCUCGCUUGAUGUUAGUUGGGCUCCGAGCCCAACUAGUGUCGGAGAGAAGUUGUUAAGCGAGCUGCCUGGGAAGUACGGUCGCAAGACUGAAACUUAAAGGAAUUGGCGGGGAGCACAGCAACGGGUGGAGCGCGCGGUUU
rnacentral:rRNA from 1 species